UGAGUCGGCCGGGCGACCGCGUCGGGGCUGUGCCCCGUCGAGGAAAGUCCGGACUCCACAGGGCAGGGUGGUUGCUAACCGCAACCCGGGGCGACCCGCGGGAAAGUGCCACAGAAAGCAGACCGCCCGGCCAUCGUGGCCGGGUAAGGGUGAAACGGUGGUGUAAGAGACCACCAGCACCCCGGGUGACCGGGGUGGCUCGGUAAACCCCACCCGGAGCAAGGUCAAGAGGGCGCCGUGUCCGGCGCCUGCGCAGGUGCUCGAGGGCGGCCCGCCCGAUACCUGCGGGUAGACCGCUGGAGCCUGUCGGCAACGGCAGGCCGAGAUGGAUGGUCGCCGAAGGGGAGUGCCGUAAGGCCCCCGGGAACAGGAUCCGGCUUACAGGCCGACUCAUCCG
rnacentral:RNase_P_RNA from 1 species